GGAGAAAAUCUUCCCUGCCAGAUGCUGUCUACAUCGUGGGUUUCCCCAGUUCAGAGCUGAACCUCCCACCAGUUGCGUGAUCUUCGGGCUAUGGGAACAUGGCAAGUGAAGAAAAUUUAUAGGAACAAAGCAAAGUUGGCCAACAGUUCAAAUGUUCUCUCUUGUAUUGAUGGAGGUAUACAGCACAAUCUCAGAUUAUGAUGUAUCUGCACCUUCGCUUCUGCCAGUAUUAUUUGCUGCACUCAUCAGCUGCAGAGAGACUCUACUGGAGGAAAGAUUGUGCCCAAGGACCUC